AGCUGUUCUUCCCCUCUGCUGACUUUAUGUGGAGUAAAGGGCUACUCCAGCUGAGGAAAAAUGCCAAUAAAGGAGAUGAAAACAGCCAGAAAUUGUAUAUACUUAUCAUGUACAACAUGAUGCCCUGAAAUAUGUCUACACUACGGGAUGGCCAAAUUGAGGCAAUUAACAUAUGCAAGACCUCACAAACUUCAAAUUUUUUGUGGUGAGAACACUUAAAAUCCACAAAAAUUAGUAAUGUUCAGAAAUACGGAUUUACCUGAACACCUGUUUUUCUGGGACACCAACCUGUAGCAGUACUAGAAACAGCAAAUACGUCUAUGUGAAACCAUAAGUUUUAUGUACCCUAUCAACAAUAAAAAUUUAUCUACUGUG
rnacentral:lncRNA from 1 species